rnacentral:rRNA from 1 species
UACGGGGGGGGCAAGCGUUGUUCGGAAUUACUGGGCGUAAAGGGCUCGUAGGUGGCCAACUAAGUCACACGUGAAAUCCCUCGGCUUAACCGGGGAACUGCGUCCGAUACUGGAUGGCUGGAGGUUGGGAGAGGGAUGCGGAAUUCCAGGUGUAGCGGUGAAAUGCGUAGAUAUCUGGAGGAACACCGGUGGCGAAGGCGGCAUCCUGGACCAAUUCUGACGCUGAGGAGCGAAAGCCAGGGGAGCAAACGGG